GAUGAACGCUGACAGAAUGCUUAACACAUGCAAGUCAACUUGAACUUCGGUUUGGGUGGCGGACGGGUGAGUAACGCGUAAAGAACUUGCCUCACAGAUAGGGACAACAUUUGGAGACGAAUGCUAAUACCUGAUAUUAUGAUUUUAGGGCAUCCUAGAAUUAUGAAAGCUAUAUGCGCUGUGGGAGAGCUUUGCGUCCCAUUAGCUAGUUGGAGAGGUAACGGCUCACCAAGGCGAUGAUGGGUAGCCGGCCUGAGAGGGUGAUCGGCCACAAGGGGACUGAGACACGGCCCAAACUCCUACGGGAGGCAGCAGUAGGGAAUCUUCCACAAUGGACGCAAGUCUGAUGGAGCAACGCCGCGUGAGUGAAGAAGGGUUUCGGCUCGUAAAGCUCUGUUGGUAGUGAAGAAAGAUAGAGGUAGUAACUGGCCUUUAUUUGACGGUAAUUACUUAGAAAGCCACGGCUAACUACGUGCCAGCAGCCGCGGUAAUACGUAGGUGGCAAGCGUUGUCCGGAUUUAUUGGGCGUAAAGCGAGUGCAGGCGGUUCAAUAAGUCUGAUGUGAAAGCCUUCGGCUCAACCGGAGAAUUGCAUCAGAAACUGUUGAACUUGAGUGCAGAAGAGGAGAGUGGAACUCCAUGUGUAGCGGUGGAAUGCGUAGAUAUAUGGAAGAACACCAGUGGCGAAGGCGGCUCUCUGGUCUGCAACUGACGCUGAGGCUCGAAAGCAUGGGUAGCGAACAGG
rnacentral:rRNA from 1 species